rnacentral:rRNA from 1 species
GAAUUUUGGACAAUGGGCGAAAGCCUGAUCCAGCAAUGCCGCGUGCAGGAUGAAGGACUUCGGGUUGUAAACUGCUCUUGUACGGAACGAAAAGCUUUGGGUUAAUAUCCUGUAGUCUUGACGGUACCGUGAGAAUAAGCAACGCCCACCUCCGUGCCAGCAGCCGCGGUAAUACGUAGGGUGCAAGAGUUAAUCGGAAUUUCUGGGCGUAAAGCGUGCGCAGGCGGUUUUGUAAGACAGGGGUGAAAUCCCCGGGCUCAACCUGGGAACUGCCUUUGUGACUGCAAGGCUAGAGUACGGCAGAGGGGGGUGGAAUUCCGCGUGUAGCAGUGAAAUGCGUAGAUAUGCGGAGGAACACCGAUGGCGAAGGCAACCCCCUGGGCCUGUACUGACGCUCAUGCACGAAAGCGUGGGGAGCAAACA